AUUGAACGCUGGCGGCAGGCUUAACACAUGCAAGUCGAGCGGAGAUGAGGUGCUUGCACCUUAUCUUAGCCGCGCACGGGUGAGUAAUGCUUAGGAAUCUGCCUCUUAGUUGGGGACAACAUUCCGAAAGGAAUGCUAAUACCGCAUACGCCCUACGGGGGAACGCAGGGGAUCUUCGGACCUUGCGCUAAUAGAUGGGCCUAAGUCGGAUUAGCUAGUGGGUGGGGUAAAGGCCUACCAAGGCGACGAUCUGUAGCGGGUCUGAGAGGAUGCUCCGCCACACUGGGACUGAGACACGGCCCAGACUCCGACGGGAGGCAGCAGUGGGGAAUAUUGGACAAUGGGCGGAAGGCUGAUCCAGCCAUGCCGCGGGUGUGAAGAAGGCCUUUUGGUUGUAAAGCACUUUAAGCGAGGAGGAGGCUACCUGGAUUAAUACUCUAGGAUAGUGGACGUUACUCGCAGAAUAAGCACCGGCUAACUCUGUGCCAGCAGCCGCCGUAACAC
rnacentral:rRNA from 1 species